rnacentral:rRNA from 1 species
AUGAACGCUGGCGGCGUGCUUAACACAUGCAAGUCGAGCGAAGCACUAAAGCGGAUUUCUUCGGAUUGAAGGUUUAGUGACUGAGCGGCGGACGGGUGAGUAACGCGUGGGUAACCUGCCUCAUACAGGGGGAUAACAGUUGGAAACGGCUGCUAAUWCCGCAUAAGCGCACAGUACCGCAUGGUACGGUGUGAAAAACUCCGGUGGUAUGAGAUGGACCCGCGUCUGAUUAGGUAGUUGGUGGGGUAACGGCCUACCAAGCCGACGAUCAGUAGCCGACCUGAGAGGGUGACCGGCCACAUUGGGACUGAGACACGGCCCAAACUCCUACGGGAGGCAGCAGUGGGGAAUAUUGCACAAUGGGGGAAACCCUGAUGCGGCGACGCCGCGUGAGCGAAGAAGUAUUUCGGUAUGUAAAGCUCUAUC